GGUCUAUCAGUGGCUCCUCCCUCUCAGAGCUCUUGACUGUCUUAAAGUUUCUCUCUCUGAUCAUCUCAGCAUUAUUCUACAGCACUGCUCAUCUUUACACGUCACACGGACCAAAUCACAAGAUGAUCACAAUAUCCUGUGCUUUCUUUACUCUUCUGACCUGUGUCAGUGGAGUGACUGUAGUGACUCAGAGUCCAUUAAUCACAGUCAAUAAAGGACAAACGGCUAAAAUGGACUGUAAUCUGGGAACAGUAACUGGUUCUGCUGCUAGAUGGUACAAACAGACUCCAGGAGGAGUUCCUCAGUUUGUAUUAAUAUUUCACCAUACCUGGAGCUCUCCAACAUAUGGAUCUGGUUUCUCUGCUCCUAAAUUCACAUCAACACAUUCAUCUAAAUCAGAUUAUAGUCUGAUCAUCAAUAAUGUGGAUGUUGGUGAUUCUGCAGUGUAUUACUGUAAGACAUGGGACAGCUCUGUUAAUGAGUACGUAUCACAGUGAUUCACAGCAUGACAAAAACCUCCUCACUGCUCACAUUCACUUCUGCUUCUAGACAACAGAGGAUAAGAGCAAUAUUGAGCAAUGCAAUUUUUCAAAAGGCUUAUAAAUCAUACAGAAUGAGUUUUUUUGAGAAAGUAAAAGUGCUGAAUGUUUUCUGUGAUGGGUAGGUUUAGGGGUAGGGUUGGUGUAGGAAAUACGGUUUGUACAGUAUAAAAACCAUUACGCCUAUGGAAUGUCCCCACAAUUCACAAAAAUAAACGUGUGUGUGUGUGUGUGUGUGUGUGUGUGUGUGUGUGUGUGUGUGUGUGUGUGUGUGAGUGACCAUCGACUCCUCUGACUGGAUCAAUAAUGUGGAUUUCUCAUGUCAAGUGUCCGUGGGUUCAAAAUUCACUAAGAAAAGUAUCUCAAAUUCACAGUGUUACUGAAACAUUGUCUGAAUGAAAAUAACAUAAUGAUAAUAUCAUCUGGAUUGUGUGAUAUCUGACAGUUGAUAUGACUAUAUACUUUACUCUUUGGUUUUGGUUCAGCAAUUAAAAAUCUUUGGCACUGCAUUUGUUUGCAUUUUCUUUCACAGACACGCAUGACUCUCUCUCAGGAUACACCUGCACAAUGUGCCUCAUCAUUUUAGCUUUAUGUAAAUCAUGAUGUUCCUCUGAACUCUUUCAGAACUGAAACACACAAACUUAAGAA